AUUGAACGCUGGCGGCGUGCAUAACACAUGCAAGUCUAACGGGAAUGUCGGCUUCGGCUGACUAGUACCGUGGCGAACGGGUGAGUAACACGUGGGUAAUCUAACCUCAAGUUUGGGAUAACCUUGCGAAAGCGGGGCUAAUACCGAAUAAGACCACGCUCAGUUCGCUGAGUGCGGUAAAAGGCGGCCUCUUCUUGAAAGCUGUCACUUGAGGAUGAGCCCGCGUCCUAUUAGCUAGUUGGUGGGGUAAUGGCCUACCAAGGCAACGAUGGGUAGCCGGCCUGAGAGGGUGUAUGGCCACACUGGCACUGAGAUACGGGCCAGACUCCUACGGGAGGCAGCAGUGGGGAAUUUUGCGCAAUGGGGGAAACCCUGACGCAGCAACGCCGCGUGAGUGAUGAAGGCCUUCGGGUCGUAAAGCUCUUUUAGUGGGGAAGAAUCCCACUCGAGUUAAUACCUCGGGUGUCUGACGGUACCCACAGAAAAAGUUCCGGCUAACUACGUGCCAGCAGCCGCAGUAAUAC
rnacentral:rRNA from 1 species